rnacentral:sRNA from 1 species
CUGACUAUUUUUUAGCCAGCCCACGCAAAUUCUAUCCUUCAGCGCCCUGCCCAAAGAAAAAAAAUGCAACUCUUGCCCUGGCUCCGUUUACUUACUAAAAGUAAUAGGUAGUAUGUACGCCGGCUAAUUUCCCGCAGUUGGGGAA